GACGAAGGGGGCUAGCGUUGUUCGGAAUUACUGGGCGUAAAGCGAGUGUAGGUGGUUGCCAUAGUCAGGUGUGAAAGCCUUGAGCUCAACUCAAGAAAUGCAUUUGAUACUGGGCGACUAGAGGACCGGAGAGGAUAGUGGAAUUCCCAGUGUAGUGGUGAAAUACGUAGAGAUUGGGAAGAACACCAGUGGCGAAGGCGGCUAUCUGGACGGUUUCUGACACUAAGAAUCGAAAGCGUGGGGAGCAAACAGG
rnacentral:rRNA from 1 species